GACGAACGCUGGCGGCGUGCUUAACACAUGCAAGUCGAACGGAAAGGCCCGGCUUUUGUUGGGUGCUCGAGUGGCGAACGGGUGAGUAACACGUGAGUAACCUGCCCUUGACUUUGGGAUAACUUCAGGAAACUGGGGCUAAUACCGGAUAGGAGCUCCUGCUGCAUGGUGGGGGUUGGAAAGUUUGGGCGGUUGGGGAUGGACUCGCGGCUUAUCAGCUUGUUGGUGGGGUAGUGGCUUACCAAGGCUUUGACGGGUGGCCGGCAUGGGAGGGUGACCGGCCACAUUGGGACUGAGAUACGGCCCAGACUCCUACGUGAGGCAGCAGUGGGGAAUAUUGCACAAUGGGCGGAAGCCUGAGGCAGCAACGCCGCGUGCGGGAUGACGGCCUUCGGGUUGUAAACCGCUUUCGCCUGUGACGAAGCGUGAGUGACGGUAAUGGGUAAAGAAGCACCGGCUAACUACGUG
rnacentral:rRNA from 1 species